rnacentral:piRNA from 1 species
UGGUAAGACUUCGGGCUCUUCCCUAGCC